rnacentral:rRNA from 1 species
CAUGCAAGUCGAACGGACCCUUCGGGGUUAGUGGCGGACGGGUGAGUAACGCGUGAGAAUCUACCUUCAGGAUGGGGACAACAGCGGGAAACUGCUGCUAAUCCCCAAUAAGCCGCAAGGUGAAAGAUUUAUCGUCUGAGGAGGAGCUCGCGUCUGAUUAGCUAGUUGGUGGGGUAAAAGCCUACCAAGGCGACGAUCAGUAGCUGGUCUGAGAGGAUGAGCAGCCACACUGGGACUGAGACACGGCCCAGACUCCUACGGGAGGCAGCAGCGGGGAAUUUUCCGCAAUGGGCGCAAGCCUGACGGAGCAAUGCCGCGUGAGGGAGGAAGGCCUUUGGGUUGUAAACCUCUUUUCUCAGGGAAGAAGACAGGACGUACCUGA